rnacentral:rRNA from 1 species
CCUACGGGGAGCAUCAGUGAGGAAUAUUGGUCAAUGGACGAGAGUCUGAACCAGCCAAGUAGCGUGAAGGAUGACUGCCCUAUGGGUUGUAAACUUCUUUUAUAUGGGAAUAAAAUGUUCCACGUGUGGGAUUUUGUAUGUACCAUAUGAAUAAGGAUCGGCUAACUCCGUGCCAGCAGCCGCGGUAAUACGGAGGAUCCGAGCGUUAUCCGGAUUUAUUGGGUUUAAAGGGAGCGUAGGUGGAUUGUUAAGUCAGUUGUGAAAGUUUGCGGCUCAACCGUAAAAUUGCAGUUGAAACUGGCAGUCUUGAGUACAGUAGAGGUGGGCGGAAUUCGUGGUGUAGCGGUGAAAUGCUUAGAUAUCACGAAGAACUCCGAUUGCGAAGGCAGUUCACUGGACUGCAACUGACACUGAGGCUCGAAAGUGUGGGUAUCAAACAGGAUUAGAUACCCGGGUAGUC